CAGUCGCCGCGGUAAUACGGAGGGGGCUAGCGUUGUUCGGAAUUACUGGGCGUAAAGCGCACGUAGGCGGCUUGGUAAGUUAGAGGUGAAAGCCCGGAGCUCAACUCCGGAACUGCCUUUAAGACUGCCGAGCUAGUAGGUGAGAGAGGUAAGUGGAAUUCCGAGUGUAGAGGUGAAAUUCGUAGAUAUUCGGAAGAACACCAGUAGCGAAGGCGGCCCGCUGGACAUGUAUUGACGCUGAGGUGCGAAAGCGUGGGGAGCAAACAGGAUUAGAGACCCCCGUAGUCCCUGUCUCUUAUAC
rnacentral:rRNA from 1 species